GAGGGUGUAGUUCAGUGGUAGAGUUUGUGCUUAGCAUGCACGAGGUCCUGAGUUCAAUCCCCAGUUCCUCCA
rnacentral:tRNA from 1 species